AAACGGAACUCCAAAUUUACUUCAGCUACUAAGAAUUCAUCCGAAUAUAAAAUUACAUAAAAGAAACACACAAACAAUAAUCAAAAGAACCCCAAAAAAACGCAAAUAAAUUCUACCAAGGCAUCACGAGCAAAAAUGAAACAUUAAUUCAAAGAUCAACAAAGCAGAUCAAAGAGUGAUUAACAAGAUUACUGGAAGCAUGAAAUUAAGUUAAAAUAGUAAAAGAGGGGGACGAAUAGACCUCGAUCAGAUCUGGAAUUUGACUGUUUGACAGUUCGACAAUGCUAAGCAACAGAACCGCGAACCUCGACCCCGGAAAAAAAACCUCGAAUAGUGACCUCGAAUCAAGAGGCAGCCACAGAACUCAAACAAACUCCUUGAACAGAAUUGAAUCAAUUUCCAUUGAAAUCAGAAGAAGCAAAAACUUUGAAAUUCAAAUGAACUCCAUAACAAAACUGAAAAUUGAAAUCGGCAAGAAGAAGAGCACUGAAAUUUAUUUUUGUUCUUUUUUUGAUUUGUGAAAUUCAAAUAAAUUGGAAAAUCGUAAAGGAAAACUGAAGAAUAUCCAAUUUCUCAAAGACCCUAGAAUCCCUCUAUAUUGUUUGCUGCUCUCCCUUCCUAUGUCUCACUCCCGUUUUUCUUUUGUUCUUUGGGUUGAAAAUCCUCGCUGCUCACCCUGUUUUCUCCUCUUACUGUGUGUGUGUGUGUGUGUCUUUGGGUGGUCGGCGAGAGUGGUGGAGCAAGGAGCAUGGGCGGGGGGUUUCUGGUAUUUUUUGGAGAUGGUGUCCGGCAAAGAUGGUGAGUUAGGCGGCUGAGCUUUUGGGUUCGAGUAUUUGCCGCUGGAGAAGGGGUUCAAAAAGAAGGGGCUGGCGGUGCUUGUCUAUUUUUGGAGAGGAGGCGCUGGUUUUGUGAAGUCAGGGGUGUGGUGGGCGGCUGAAGGGUUCAGGGUAUUCUCUAGGGUUUUUUGGUAGUGUGUACAUGAAGAAGAUGAAGAUGGCUGGACCUUGGAGAGGAGACGGCGGCAGCUGGGCUGCUCCCUUAGGGAUGGCGGCGGUGGUUAGGUGCUGAAGAAGUUUUCUAGAGUUUGUAGUGAAAGAGAUGAGGAAUAAAAGGGAAGAUGGGUCAUGGGUCU
rnacentral:lncRNA from 1 species